AGGCUUAGUUCUACACACUUACAAUUUCUAAAAUUUUGAUCAACCCUUUAUCCCUACUGAAUUAUUUUAUAUCCUUAUAAAAGUAAUAAUGCUAGAACUAGUAACAAGAAACUGCCCAUUCUCCUAAAUGCAAGCAUAAACCAGAAUAGACACCCUACUGGUAAUCAACGUAAAUGUCACUUUUAUAGUAACAUAGUAGAAAAUCCUAUAAUCCCCUUACGUUAACCUUACACUAGAGCAUUUCAGGAAAGAUUAAAAGAGAAAGAAGGAACUCGGCAAACUUCAGCCUCGCCUGUUUACCAAAAACAUCGCCUCUUGAAAAAAUAUAAGAGGUCCAGCCUGCCCAGUGACUAAGUUUAACGGCCGCGGUACC
rnacentral:rRNA from 1 species